GUGGGGAAUAUUGGACAAUGGGCGCAAGCCUGAUCCAGCCAUGCCGCGUGAGUGAUGAAGGCCUUAGGGUUGUAAAGCUCUUUCAGUGGGGACGAUAAUGACGGUACCCACAGAAGAAGCCCCGGCUAACUUCGUGCCAGCAGCCGCGGUAAUACGAAGGGGGCUAGCGUUGUUCGGAUUUACUGGGCGUAAAGCGCACGUAGGCGGAUCGUUAAGUCGGGGGUGAAAUCCUGGAGCUCAACUCCAGAACUGCCUUCGAUACUGGCGAUCUUGAGUCCGGAAGAGGUGAGUGGAACUCCUAGUGUAGAGGUGGAAUUCGUAGAUAUUAGGAAGAACACCAGUGGCGAAGGCGGCUCACUGGUCCGGUACUGACGCUGAGGUACGAAAGCGUGGGGAGCAAACAGGAUUAGAAACCCCUGUAGUCC
rnacentral:rRNA from 1 species